CGCAAGCCUGACGGAGCAAGACCGCGUGCGGGAUGACGGCCUAAUGGUUGUAAACCGCUUUUCUCUGGGAAGAUGAUGACGGUACCAGAGGAAUCAGCCUCGGCUAACUCCGUGCCAGCAGCCGCGGUAAUACGGAGGAGGCAAGCGUUAUCCGGAAUUAUUGGGCGUAAAGCGUCCGUAGGUGGUUAUUCAAGUCUGCUGUCAAAGCGUGGGGCUUAACUCCAUAGAGGCAGUGGAAACUGGAUGACUUGAGUGCGGUAGGGGUCGAGGGAAUUCCCAGUGUAGCGGUGAAAUGCGUAGAUAUUGGGAAGAACACCAGUGGCGAAAGCGCUCGACUGGGCCUGCACUGACACUGAGGGACGAAAGCUAGGGGAGCG
rnacentral:rRNA from 1 species